GGAAAAAGUGCGAGGAAAAAGUGCGUUAGGGACCGGUCAUAAAUUACAGGGGAGGGGGGGGGUUGGGGGGGCUGGUGGAAAAAGAGGGGGUCAGAUAUUUUUGUGCAUGAAAGAAGGGGAGAGGGGGGCAAAAAUGGUUGUUCAAUAUAAAUGCCUGCCCCGCGUGACCUAGCCUGCUCGCAGCCUGAAAUUUAGAAGGAGAAAAUGACCCCG